rnacentral:tRNA from 1 species
GCGCACGUGGUGAAAUUGGUAGACAUGCCAUCUUGAGGGGGUGGUGCCAUUAGGUGUGCUGGUUCGAAUCCAGUCGUGCGCACAA